UACGAAGGGGGCUAGCGUUGCUCGGAAUUACUGGGCGUAAAGGGCGCGUAGGCGGCCGAUCAAGUCAGGCGUGAAAUUCCCGGGCUCAACCUGGGGGCUGCGCUUGAGACUGGUUGGCUAGAGGCCGAGAGAGGGUGGUGGAAUUCCCAGUGUAGAGGUGAAAUUCGUAGAUAUUGGGAAGAACACCGGUGGCGAAGGCGGCGACCUGGUCCUUGACUGACGCUGAGGCACGAAAGCGUGGGGAGCAAACAGG
rnacentral:rRNA from 1 species